CACGUAGGGGCGAGCGUUGUCCGGAAUCAUUGGGCGUAAAGCGCGCGUAGGCGGCCACUUAAGUCGGAUGUGAAAGCCCCUGGCUCAACUGGGGAAGUGCACCCGAAACUGAAUGGCUUGAAUACAAAAGAGGGUCGCGGAAUUCCCGGUGUAGAGGUGAAAUUCGUAGAUAUCGGGAAGGAACACCGGUGGCGAAGGCGGCGACCUGGGUUGAUAUUGACGCUGAGGCGCGAAAGCGUGGGGAGCAAACAGG
rnacentral:rRNA from 1 species